GUACUGCUGAGGAGUCCCGUACUAGGACGAAACGGCCGUCCAGUGC
rfam:Schistosoma haematobium scaffold875_9, whole genome shotgun sequence.